rnacentral:rRNA from 1 species
GUGUCAGCAGCCGCGGUAAUACAGAGGGUGCAAGCGUUAAUCGGAUUUACUGGGCGUAAAGCGUGCGUAGGUGGUGACAUCAGUCGGAUGUGAAAGCCCUGGGCUUAACCUGGGAACUGCAUUCGAUACUGUGUGACUAGAGUUCGGUAGAGGGCGGCGGAAUUCCGGGUGUAGCGGUGAAAUGCGUAGAUAUCCGGAGGAACACCGAUGGCGAAGGCAACCGCCUGGGCCUGAACUGACACUGAGGCACGAAAGCGUGGGGAGCAAACAGGAUUAGAUACCCUGGUAGUCCACGCUGUAAACGAUGAGAACUUGACGUCUGCUUGCUAUGCGAGUAGGUGUCGUAGCUAACGCGAUAAGUUCUCCGCCUGGGGAGUACGGCCGCAAGGUUGAA